CCUAAAGGCGCAAUGAAAGUAAAGAUCGACCUUGCGUCGAUUGAGGGAGGAUGAGCCGUAUUACGAUACGGCUCCGCACUCCCGGGGCGUCUCAUUCUCAUUACGAGAAGAGGCGCACCCAGAGCGUACACGUUGGGACCCGAAAGAUGGUGAACUAUGCCUGGUCAGGACGAAGUCAGGGGAAACCCUGAUGGAGGUCCGUAGCGAUUCUGACGUGCAAAUCGAUCGUCGGAACUGGGUAUAGGGGCGAAAGACUAAUCGAACCAUCUAGUAGCUGGUUCCCUCCGAAGUUUCCCUCAGGAUAGCUGGCACUCAUUUAUAAAAUUAUAUUUAACGAGUCUCAUCUGGUAAAGCGAAUGAUUAGAGGCCUUGGGGCCGAAACGACCUCAACCUAUUCUCAAACUUUAAAUGGGUGAGAUCUCUGGCUUGCUUAAAUAUAUAAUGAAGCCAUGAGAUUUCGGAUCAGAGUGCCAAGUGG
rnacentral:rRNA from 1 species